rnacentral:rRNA from 1 species
UGCGUAGGCGGCCCGGAAAGUUGGGUGUGAAAGCCCUCGGCUCAACCGAGGAAUUGCGCCCAAAACUACCGGGCUGGAGGGAGACAGAGGUGAGCGGAACUUAGGGUGGAGCGGUGAAAUGCGUUGAUAUCCUAAGGAACACCAGUAGCGAAAGCGGCUCACUGGGUCUCUUCUGACGCUGAGGCACGAAAGCUAGGGGAGCGAACGGGAUUAGAUACCCCGGUAGUCCUAGCCUUAAACGAUGAGCACUGGUUUGGAGGGUCCUCCAUAGCCUUCCAGACGUAGCGAAAGUGUUAAGUGCUCCGCCUGGGAGUAUGGUCGCAAGGCUAGAA